CAUAUCAUAACUACAUGCAUGCAGAAGGUAGAUUUACUCUACCUAAAGUGAAAACAAAUAAAAUGAAAAGUACUGUGAAGUAUAGAGCCAUGGGGAUAUGGAAUGCUCUGCUUGGA